UACGGAGGGGGCUAGCGUUGUUCGGAAUUACUGGGCGUAAAGCGCACGUAGGCGGUUUUGUAAGUCAGAGGUGAAAGCCUGGAGCUCAACUCCAGAACUGCCUUUGAGACUGCAUCGCUUGAAUCCAGGAGAGGUGAGUGGAAUUCCGAGUGUAGAGGUGAAAUUCGUAGAUAUUCGGAAGAACACCAGUGGCGAAGGCGGCUCACUGGACUGGUAUUGACGCUGAGGUGCGAAAGCGUGGGGAGCAAACAGG
rnacentral:rRNA from 1 species